CCUACGGGGCGCAGCAGUGAGGAAUAUUGGUCAAUGGUCGCGAGACUGAACCAGCCAUGCCGCGUGAGGGAGGAAGGUACAGAGUAUUGUAAACCUCUUUUGUCAGGGAACAAAGGCGGGGACGUGUCUCCGGCUGAGUGUACCUGAAGAAAAAGGAUCGGCUAACUCCGUGCCAGCAGCCGCGGUAAUACGGAGGAUUCGAGCGUUAUCCGGAUUUAUUGGGUUUAAAGGGUGCGCAGGCGGUCUGUUAAGUUAGCGGUGAAAUCCCGGGGCUCA
rnacentral:rRNA from 1 species